rnacentral:rRNA from 1 species
GAUGAACGCUGGCGGCGUGCCUAAUACAUGCAAGUCGAGCGAACGGACGAGAAGCUUGCUUCUCUGAUGUUAGCGGCGGACGGGUGAGUAACACGUGGAUAACCUACCUAUAAGACUGGGAUAACUUCGGGAAACCGGAGCUAAUACCGGAUAAUAUUUUGAACCGCAUGGUUCAAAAGUGGAAGACGGUCUUGCUGUCUCUUAUAGAUGGAUCCGCGCUGCAUUAGCUAGUUGGUAAGGUAACGGCUUACCAAGGCAACGAUGCAUAGCCGACCUGAGAGGGUGAUCGGCCACACUGGAACUGAGACACGGUCCAGACUCCUACGGGAGGCAGCAGUAGGGAAUCUUCCGCAAUGGGCGAAAGCCUGACGGAGCAACGCCGCGUGAGUGAUGAAGGUCUUCGGAUCGUAAAACUCUGUUAUUAGGGAAGAACAUAUGUGUAAGUAACUGUGCACAUCUUGACGGUACCUAAUCAGAAAGCCACGGCUAACUACGUG